CUCCUCUCAGGACCACACCAGGAGAGUUUCCUAUACUCUACCAGUCUUGGCUAUGGGAGGGAGAUUCAAGCAGAGGCAUACUUAUUUCAUUCCUAGCUUAGUCAGUGGCUAGUGAGUGGAAGACAAUGUCCUACAAGU